rnacentral:rRNA from 1 species
UGGGGAAUAUUGGACAAUGGGCGAAAGCCUGAUCCAGCAACGCCGCGUGCGGGACGAAGGCCUUCGGGUCGUAAACCGCUGUCAGAUGGGACGAAGGAAUCGUGGUUAAUAUCUGCGGUUCUUGACGGUACCUGCAGAAGAAGAUGCGGCCAACUACGUGCCAGCAGCCGCGGUGACACGUAGGCAUCAAGCGUUAUCCGGAUUUAUUGGGCGUAAAGGGCGUGUAGGCGGCCAAUUAAGUCAGAGGUGAAAUCCCCGAGCUCAACUUGGGAACUGCCUUUGAUACUGAUUGGCUAGAGUUCGGGAGAGGGUAGUGGAAUUCCCAGUGUAGAGGUGAAAUUCGUAGAUAUUGGGAGGAACACCGGUGGCGAAGGCGGUCACCUGGGGCCAGUACUGACGCUGAGGCGCGAAAGCGUGGGGAGCAAACAGGAUUAGAUACCCUGGUAGUCCACGCCGUAAAACGAUGAAUGUUAGCCGUCGGGCAGUAUACUGUUCGGUGGCGCAGCUAACGCAUUAAACAUUCCGCCUGGGAGUACGGUCGCAAGAUUAAAACUCAAAGGAAUUGAC